rnacentral:rRNA from 1 species
UACGUAGGGUGCGAGCGUUGUCCGGAAUUACUGGGCGUAAAGAGCUCGUAGGCGGUUUGUCGCGUCGUCCGUGAAAACUUGGGGCUCAACCCCCAAGCUUGCGGGCGGAUACGGGCAGACUUGAGUACUGCAGGGGAGAUGGAAUUCCUGGUGUAGCGGUGAAAUGCGCAGAUAUCAGGAGGAACACCGGUGGCGAAGGCGGGUCUCUGGGCAGUAACUGACGCUGAGGAGCGAAAGCGUGGGUAGCAAACAGG